GAGCCUUCACAGGGGACAGCAUGAGGCUGCGGCCCAGCUCGCUCGGCAACACUGAGGGUUUCCAGCUCAUGCAGCCAGGCUUCUGAUCCAGAGCCCGGCUGCUGCGGUGGAGCUCAGCAAUGCUCCCUAGGCACUCAAAGGAGCCGCGGCUUUUCGACUCCGUUCCGAGCACAGACGACCGAGCACAAGAUCAGGCUGGUCCCCCAGUCGCCAUCAAAUGCUUACGUAGCUUUGCCUCCGCAUCGUGGCUGAGCACGUGUGCCCCGAUCUCACUCUCCCCGCGAAGUGUAAUUCUGUGUAAGGGCGACCCAGUUCAGAAAAGCAGCGAGGUCUGUCUGGGCUGAUGGGCGUGGUGCUCCGUCUGUGCGCGUGUGUGUGCCCACCUGCACGUGUGUGUAAACGCUGCCUGUGCACUCAUCCCCGCGCGUGCAUACGCUGUGCGUGCGCCUGUGCCCGCGUGUUUACACGCUGCGUGUGCACCUGCGCGCGCACAUUUGCGCACAUGUGUGCGCACCUGUGCGCUUAUGUGUGUG